rnacentral:tRNA from 1 species
GGGGUGUUAGCUCAUUUGGUAGAGCGCUUCCAUGGCAUGGAAGAGGCGACGAGUUCGAAUCUCGUACACUCCACCA